CUCACGCAGCAAAACAACCCCUCCACAGAGGAAAACAAACUGACAGUUAAAGACAGACAGCGUUUGGAAAUAUGACAGUUAUUAAGGGUUUUUAAGCUGGUGUUCUAGGAGGGAGGGGAAUAAAACAGUCAAACUAAGUCCAUAAAACAGGGUUUUUCUUCACACUCUGCAUCCGAAGUGCAUAGCAAAACUGCAGAUCCUUUGUCAGAGCAUUUAAAGGGCCAGAACCAGUCUAAUAAAAUCCACUAUGCUCAAAUAACAUACAGUUCAAAUACAGGCAAUAAUCAAUGCAAAAGUCUCUUGUGGCUGCUUCUGCCACAGUCUGGUAUAGAGGCACUGAGGGCUGGAGGGUGGUAUAACAGGGAGGUCUGGUAUAAGGGCACUAAGGUCAGGAGUGUGGGGUGUCCGCGAGGUCUGGUAUAGGGGCAGUGAGGGCUGGUGUGUGGUGUACCAGGGAGGUCUGGUAUAGAGGCACUGAGGGCAGGAGUGUGGGGUGUCAGCGAGGUCUGGUAUAGAGGCACUGAGGGCUGGAGGGUGGUGUACCAGGGAGGUCUGGUAUAAGGGCACUGAGGGAAGGAGUGUGGGGUGUCCGUGAGGUCUGGUAUAGGGGCAGUGAGGGCAGGAGUGUGGUGUACCAGGGAGGUCUGGUAUAGAGGCACCGAGGGCUGGAGGGUGGUGUACCAGGAAGGUCUGGUAUAAGGGCACUGAGGGCAGGAGUGUGGGGUGUCCGCGAGGUCUGGUAUAGGGGCAGUGAGGGCUGGAGUGUGGUGUACCAGGGAGGUCUGGUAUAGAGGCACUGAGGGCAGGAGUGUGGGGUGUC